CUUUACUAGACACAGCUGUUGAUGUUCAACCCCAGGCUGUGGCAAGGAGGGAUUUCAAGAACCUGCACAGAUGCUGCUCGGCCUGACGAUGCCGCAGCCAGGUGGUGACCCUGCAUGCAGUACCUGGCACAGCAGAGUGCGCAGCGCUGCAGCCAAAUCCCAGAGUCAGAGAGCUGCCGAAGCUGGCCAAUCUGUCGCCAGGGAGAAUGAACACUGUCACUGAUGCAAACACUGAGGCAGAGGGGCAAACAGCAAAUCUUUAAUGAAUCAGAAGGAGGGACUGGAUCAAGACUGCCAGGGUGUGCACCUCCUGCUUAAGGUUUAUAAUCCUCAUUUUAUCUAUUAAACGGUGACUUGAAAUUUAAAGAUCCAUAUUUAGGUCAAAAAUGAUUUACUUUGUGUUGUAAUCAAUGUCAUAAAUCACCAAACCUCAAACAUCGACAAUUUUAGACAUUAAAAACUGCAGCCCUGGGACCUUACACUAAAAUAUUGUUUAUCACUUGUACGACAGGAGAAAAUUAAAUUAUAUUUUCAUUA